rnacentral:misc_RNA from 1 species
UGAAGGGAUCACAAGUUAACGACAUUACUAAAAGAACCUAACAACUGAAAGACCAAAAGCAACCUUUGGCAAGGUUAUUGACAUUUUAUAUGACAAAUUAUGCAUCACUUAGAAUUCAAAACCUGGAUAAAUGUAUCAAUAUGCCUGUUCAGAUCAUUUUGCCAUAAUGUAAAAUGCCCAAGGUCAUUGCCAUUUUAUAUGACUAAAAGCAGUCUAAUAUUCCCAAUCACAAUUAUUGAAAAUCCUAAAUACAACUAAAACUCUAAACUUGCUAAACAGAAAAUUUACAAGAAAAACAAUGAAUUUCAUAAUUAAGAACUAUAUCAAAAUAAUCCCAAAAUCUAAUUUCCCUUGACAGUAUCAUUCUUUCUCUAAUGAGUGAGAGAAAAAAAUAUGCCAG